ACUUGAAUAGCUUAUGGGUUAGAGCGCGACACUGAAGAUGUCGAUGAGGCAUAUAGUGCCUUUGGGUA
rnacentral:tRNA from 1 species